UACGGAAGGGGCAAGCGUUGUCCGGAUUUAUUGGGCGUAAAGAGCUCGUAGGCGGUUUGUCGCGUCGGCCGUGAAAUCUCCACGCUUAACGUGGAGCGUGCGGUCGAUACGGGCAGACUUGAGUUCGGUAGGGGAGACUGGAAUUCCUGGUGUAGCGGUGAAAUGCGCAGAUAUCAGGAGGAACACCGGUGGCGAAGGCGGGUCUCUGGGCCGAUACUGACGCUGAGGAGCGAAAGCGUGGGGAGCGAACAGG
rnacentral:rRNA from 1 species